rnacentral:rRNA from 1 species
CUUGGUCAUUUAGAGGAAGUAAAAGUCGUAACAAGGUUUCCGUAGGUGAACCUGCGGAAGGAUCAUUCAUAAUAAGUGUUUUAUGGCACUUUUUAAAUCCAUAUCCACCUUGUGUGCAAUGUCAGUCGAUCUUCUUCAUGGAGAUCGGCCAAACAUCAACCUUAUUUUUUAACUCUUUGUCUGAAAAAUAUUAUGAAUAAACAAUUCAAAAUACAACUUUCAACAACGGAUCUCUUGGCUCUCGCAUCGAUGAAGAACGCAGCGAAAUGCGAUACGUAAUGUGAAUUGCAGAAUUCAGUGAAUCAUCGAAUCUUUGAACGCAUAUUGCGCUCUUUGGUAUUCCGAAGAGCAUGCUUGUUUGAGUAUCAGUAAACACCUCAAAGCUUUUGGAUUUUUUUUGAAAGCUUUGGACUUGAGCAAUCCCAACGCCAAUCUUUUUCAGAUCGGCGGCGGGUUGCUUGAAAUGCAGGUGCAGCUGGACUUUCUCCCGAGCUAAAAGCAUAUUCAUUUAGUCCCGUCAAACGGAUUAUUACUUUUGCUGCAGCUAACAUAAAGGGAGUUUGACCGUAUUGGCUGACUGAUGCAGGAUUUUACAAGGGUCGGCAACGAUUCUUGUUAAACUCGGUCUCAAAUCAAGUAAGACUACCCGCUGAACUUAAGCAUAUCAAUAAGCGGAGGA